rnacentral:rRNA from 1 species
GGGUGACCUGCCCUCGAGAUGGGGAUAGCCAUUAGAAAUAGUGGAUAAUACCGAAUACGACUCAUGGACCCUGUGGGGAUAUGAGGAAAACAGGCUACGGCCUGGCUCGAGGAUGGGCCCGCGUCCCAUUAGCUAGUUGGUGAGGUAACGGCCCACCAAGGCGACGAUGGGUAUCCGGCCUGAGAGGGUGUACGGACACAUUGGGACUGAGAUACGGCCCAAACUCCUACGGGAGGCAGCAGCUAAGAAUAUUCCGCAAUGGACGAAAGUCUGACGGAGCGACGCCGCGUGGAUGAAGAAGGCCCGGAAGGUUGUAAAAUCCUUUUGCUGAUGAAGAAUAAGUGUGGUAGGGAAUGACCGCAUGAUGACACUUAGUCGGUGAAUAAGCCCCGGCUAACUACGUGCCAGCCGCUGC